rnacentral:rRNA from 1 species
AUUGAACGCUGGCGGCAGGCUUAACACAUGCAAGUCGAGCGGGGUGAUGGUGCUUGCACUAUCACUUAGCGGCGGACGGGUGAGUAAUGCUUAGGAAUCUGCCUAUUAGUGGGGGACAACAUCUCGAAAGGGAUGCUAAUACCGCAUACGUCCUACGGGAGAAAGCAGGGGAUCACUUGUGACCUUGCGCUUAUAGAUGAGCCUAAGUCGGAUUAGCGAGUUGGUGGGGUAAAGGCCUACCAAGGCGACGAUCUGUAGCGGGUCUGAGAGGAUGAUCCGCCACACUGGGACUGAGACACGGCCCAGACUCCUACGGGAGGCAGCAGUGGGGAAUAUUGGACAAUGGGGGGAACCCUGAUCCAGCCAUGCCGCGUGUGUGAAGAAGGCCUUAUGGUUGUAAAGCACUUUAAGCGAGGAGGAGGCUCUUUUGGUUAAUACCCAAGAUGAGUGGACGUUACUCGCAGAAUAAGCACCGGCUAACUCUGUGCCAGCCGCCGCCGUAA